rnacentral:rRNA from 1 species
AUACGUAGGGAGCGAGCGUUAUCCGGAAUUACUGGGCGUAAAGGGCGCGUAGGCUGCGCUUCAAGUCGUCUGUCAAACAAUAAGGCUCAACCUUAUUUUGCAGACGAAACUGUGGCGCUGGAGAAGCAGAGAGGCAAACAGAAUUCCUGGUGUAGCGGUGAAAUGCGUAGAUAUCAGGAAGAAUACCAGUGGCGAAGGCGGUUUGCUGGCUGCAUACUGACGCUGAAGCGCGAAAGCCAGGGGAGCGAACGGGAUUAGAUACCCCGGUAGUCCUGGCAGUAAACGAUGAAUACUAGGUGUAGGGGGUAUCGACUCCCUCUGUGCCGCAGUUAACACAAUAAGUAUUCCGCCUGGGGAGUACGGCCGCAAGGUUGAAACUCAAAUGAAUUGGCGGGG